rnacentral:rRNA from 1 species
UAGGGAAUCUUCCACAAUGGGCGAAAGCCUGAUGGAGCAACGCCGCGUGUGUGAUGAAGGCUUUAGGGUCGUAAAGCACUGUUGUAUGGGAAGAAAUGCUAGAAUAGGGAAUGAUUCUAGUUCGACGGUACCAUACCAGAAAGGGACGGCUAAAUACGUGCCAGCAGCCGCGGUAAUACGUAUGUCCCGAGCGUUAUCCGGAUUUAUUGGGCGUAAAGCGAGCGCAGACGGUUGAUUAAGCCUGAUGUGAAAGCCCGGAGCUCAACUCCGGAAUGGCAUUGGAAACUGGUUAACUUGAGUGUUGUAGAGGUAAGUGGAACUCCAUGUGUAGCGGUGGAAUGCGUAGAUAUAUGGAAGAACACCGGUGGCGAAAGCGGCUCUCUGGUCUGUAACUGACGCUGAGGCUCGAAAGCGUGGGGAGCGAACAGGAUUAGAUACCCUGGUAGUCCACGCCGUAAACGAUGAGUGCUAGGUGUUGGAUCCUUUCCGGGAUUCAGUGCCGCAGCUAACGCAUUAAGCACUCCGCCUGGGGAGUACGACCGCAAGGUU